rnacentral:pre_miRNA from 1 species
AGUAUCCUGUAUCCGUGCUGAGAUUUCGUCACACACCAGACUUCAAGGGCUGAUGAGACUUCCAAGAUAAGUGAAGCG